CUUGUUUGACCUUUUAGUUUACCCUGAGGGCCCCAGGGUCAGAGACAAGGUUAGCCAUGGAGAGGCUGAUCUCCUGCAGGACUUCCCAGAAUCCUUAGCUGAAGUUGUUCUGGUUGCCAUGGUGAUUUUGAUUUUGAAAUGCUCCAAAAUUACAGACAUAGGAAAGAAUGGGUUUCUACAAGAAUUGGCUGAUUUUGAGUUACAAUAUUGCUCUGUUUACCACCCAUUAUCAAUCAUCAAACAAAAGAUUGAACAAGUGGUGAAUAUAGCUGCUACCUUUCCUGCUUUCAUGAAGUAUGAUGAAGAUAUGACUCUAAGG